rnacentral:rRNA from 1 species
GACAGGCGGUCCGCUCCGGUGGUUACUGCCUGGCCUGAACAUCCUGACGGUUUUCCUUCUGUGCUCUUGACUGAGUGUCGUAGGUGCCCGUCACGUUUACUUUGAAAAAAUUGGAGUGCUCAAAGCAGGCGUUCCGCCUGAAUAAUGGUGCAUGGAAUAAUGAAAGAGGACUUCGAGUUCUAUUGUGUUGGUUUUCGGAACACGAGGUAAUGAUUAAAAGGGACAGACGGGGGCAUUCGUAUUGCGACGCUAGAGGUGAAAUUCUUGGACCGUCGCAAGACGAACUACAGCGAAAGCAUUUGCCAAGAAUGUUUUCAUUAAUCAAGAACGAAAGUUAGAGGUUCGAAGGCGAUCAGAUACCGCCCUAGUUCUAACCAUAAACGAUGCCAACCAGCGAUCCGCCUGAGUUACUCAAUUGACUCGGCGGGCAGCUUCCGGGAAACCAAAGUUUGUGGGUUCCGGGGGAAGUAUGGUUGCAAAGCUGAAACUUAAAGGAAUUGACGGAAGGGCACCACCAGGAGUGGAGCCUGCGGCUUAAUUUGACUCAACACGGGAAAACUUACCCGGCCCGGACACCGGAAGGAUUGACAGAUUAAGAGCUCUUUCUUGAUUCGGUGGGUGGUGGUGCAUGGCCGUUCUUAGUUGGUGGAGCGAUUUGUCUGGUUAAUUCCGAUAACGAACGAGACUCUAGCCUACUAAAUAGGCGACCGAUCACUUGUGUCGGUCUUCCUUCUUAGAGGGACAAGCGGCGUUUAGCCGCACGAGACAGAGCAAUAACAGGUCUGUGAUGCCCUUAGAUGUCCGGGGCCGCACGCGCGCUACACUGAAGGAAUCAGCGUGUGUUUACCCCUGUCCGGCAGGACUGGGUAACCCGAUGAACCUCCUUCGUGAUAGGGAUAGGAGCUUGUAAUUGUUCUCCUUGAACGAGGAAUUCCCAGUAAGCGCGAGUCAUAAGCUCGUGUUGAUUACGUCCCUGCCCUUUGUACACACCGCCCGUCGCUACUACCGAUUGAAUGAUUUAGUGAGGUCUUCGGACUGGUGCUCGGAGCGGCUCUCGGGUCGCACCGCCGUACCGGAAAGAUGACCAAACUUGAUCAUUUAGAGGAAGUAAAAGUCGUAACAAGGUUUCC